ACUUAAAUAAUUUAAAUAAAAUAUUGAUUUGUGGAGUCAAAUAUAUGAGUAUUCAUUUUAAGUC
rnacentral:tRNA from 1 species